AACGAACGCUGGCGGCAUGCCUAACACAUGCAAGUCGAACGAAGCCUUCGGGCUUAGUGGCGCACGGGUGCGUAACGCGUGGGAAUCUGCCCCUUGCUUCGGAAUAACAGCUAGAAAUGACUGCUAAUACCGGAUGAAGUCUUCGGACCAAAGAUUUAUCGGCAAGGGAUGAGCCCGCGUAGGAUUAGGUAGUUGGUGGGGUAAAGGCCUACCAAGCCGACGAUCCUUAGCUGGUCUGAGAGGAUGAUCAGCCACACUGGGACUGAGACACGGCCCAGACUCCUGCGCGAGGCAGCAGUGGGGAAUACAGGGAAAUGGACGCAAGUCUGAUCCAGCAAUGCCGCGUAAGUGAUGAAGGCCUUAGGGUUGUAAAGCUCUUUUACCAGGGAGGAUAAUGACGGUACCUGGAGAAUAAGCUCCGGCUAACUCCGUG
rnacentral:rRNA from 1 species